UGGGGAAUUUUCCACAAUGGGCGAAAGCCUGAUGGAGCAAUACCGCGUGAGGGAAGAAGGAUCGUGGUUCGUAAACCUCUUUUCUUAAGGAAGAAACAAUGACGGUACUUAAGGAAUAAGCACCGGCUAACUCUGUG
rnacentral:rRNA from 1 species